rnacentral:rRNA from 1 species
UGCAGUCGAGCGGAACGAUCCUAGCUUGCUAGGAGGCGUCGAGCGGCGGACGGGUGAGUAAUGCAUAGGAAUCUGCCCGGUAGUGGGGGAUAACUUGAGGAAACUCAAGCUAAUACCGCAUACGCCCUACGGGGGAAAGCAGGGGCUCUUCGGACCUUGCGCUAUCGGAUGAGCUUAUGUCGGAUUAGCUGGUUGGUGAGGUAACGGCUCACCAAGGCGACGAUCCGUAGCUGGUCUGAGAGGAUGAUCAGCCACAUCGGGACUGAGACACGGCCCGAACUCCUACGGGAGGCAGCAGUGGGGAAUAUUGGACAAUGGGGGCAACCCUGAUCCAGCCAUGCCGCGUGUGUGAAGAAGGCCCUCGGGUUGUAAAGCACUUUCAGCGAGGAAGAAUGCUUGUCGGUUAAUACCCGGCAAGGGAGACAUCACUCGCAGAAGAAGCACCGGCUAACUCCGUGCCAGCAGCCGCGGUAAUACGGAGGGUGCGAGCGUUAAUCGGAAUUACUGGGCGUAAAGCGUGCGUAGGCGGCUUGAUAAGCCGGUUGUGAAAGCCCCGGGCUCAACCUGGGAACGGCAUCCGGAACUGUUAGGCUAGAGUGCAGGAGAGGAAGGUAGAAUUCCCGGUGUAGCGGUGAAAUGCGUAGAGAUCGGGAGGAAUACCAGUGGCGAAGGCGGCCUUCUGGACUGACACUGACGCUGAGGUACGAAAGCGUGGGUAGCAAACAGGAUUAGAUACCCUGGUAGUCCACGCCGUAAACGAUGUCGACUAGCCGUUGGGGUCCUCGAGACCUUUGUGGCGCAGUUAACGCACUAAGUCGACCGCCUGGGGAGUACGGCCGCAAGGUUAAAACUCAAUGAAUUGACGGGGCCCGCACAAGCGGUGGAGCAUGUGGUUAAUUCGAUGCACGCGAANACCUUACCUACCCUUGACAUCGUGCGAACUUUCCAGAGAUGGAUUGAUGCCUUCGGAGCGCACAGACAGUGCUGCAUGCUGUCGUCAGCUCGUGUGUGAAAUGUGGUUAAGUCCGU